rnacentral:rRNA from 1 species
AACGAACGCUGGUGGCACGCUUUAUGCAUGCAAGUCGUACGAGAAAGCUCUUUCGGGAGUGAUUAAAGUGGCGCACGGGUGAGGAACACGUAGGUGACCUACCUUGUGGUUUGGGAUAACUGCGGGAAGCCGCAGCUAAUACCGGAUAAGUAGAUCAACUUUGGAAGGAGAUCUAGAAAGAGGGCCUCUAUACUAUGCUCUUGCCGCGAGAAGGGCCUGCGGAACAUUAGCUUGUUGGUGGGGUAAUGGCCUACCAAGGCAACGAUGUUUAACCGGUCUGAGAGGAUGAUCGGUCACACUGGAACUGAGACACGGUCCAG